GAUGAACGCUGGCGGCGUGCCUAAUACAUGCAAGUCGAGCGAACAGACGAGGAGCUUGCUCCUCUGACGUUAGCGGCGGACGGGUGAGUAACACGUGGAUAACCUACCUAUACGACUGGGAUAACUUCGGGAAACCGGAGCUAAUACCGGAUAAUAUAUUGAACCGCAUGGUUCAAUAGUGAAAGACGGUUUUGCUGUCACUUAUAGAUGGAUCCGCGCCGCAUUAGCUAGUUGGUAAGGUAACGGCUUACCAAGGCGACGAUGCGUAGCCGACCUGAGAGGGUGAUCGGCCACACUGGAACUGAGACACGGCCCAGACUCCGACGGGAGGCAGCAGUAGGGAAUCUUCCGCAAUGGGCGAAAGCCGGACGGAGCAACGCCGCGUGAGUGAUGAAGGUCUUCGGAUCGUAAAGCUCUGUUAUUAGGGAAGAACAAAUGUGUAAGUAACUAUGCACGUCUUGACGGUACCUAAUCAGAAAGCCACGGCUAACUACGUG
rnacentral:rRNA from 1 species